GACGAACGCUGGCGGCGUGCUUAACACAUGCAAGUCGAACGCUGAAGCACCAGCUUGCUGGUGUGGAUGAGUGGCGAACGGGUGAGUAAUACGUGAGUAACCUGCCCUUGACUCUGGGAUAAGCCCGGGAAACUGGGUCUAAUACUGGAUGCUACAUGUCACCGCAUGGUGGUGUGUGGAAAGGGUUUACUGGUCUUGGAUGGGCUCACGGCCUAUCAGCUUGUUGGUGAGGUAAUGGCUCACCAAGGCGACGACGGGUAGCCGGCCUGAGAGGGUGACCGGCCACACUGGGACUGAGACACGGCCCAGACUCCUAAGGGAGGCAGCAGUGGGGAAUAUUGCACAAUGGGCGAAAGCCUGAUGCAGCGACGCCGCGGGGGGGAUGACGGCCUUCGGGUUGUAAACCUCUUUCAGCAGGGAAGAAGCCACGAGUGACGGUACCUGCAGAAGAAGCGCCGGCUAACUACGUG
rnacentral:rRNA from 1 species